GAAAACGGGCCACGCAAGAACAACGAAGAACACGAAGAAACACACCAUAAGUAGGAACGUAGGAACAGCGUACUGUACCAUGUGACACGAGUGAGACUAACGAGCAGGGAAUCAUAGGACACAGGUAGUGAAUAUCAACGAGCCAUCAAGAGCAAUGUACAAGUGAGCCACCAGGGGGAGAACACAAGCUACAGAAAGCAGCACAACAGAGGGACAAUUUUCAGCUCACCUGCAGAGGGUUCUUGGUGCUGAUGGCGAUGACCUGAUAUUUGUAGUAGCAGAGCUCACAGGCCCAGGAGCCUCUCUCACUGAUCCACUUGAUGAGGCAGGGAUGGUGGGUGCAGCGCACUGAGCCGCUGCAGCGACAUGGACUCAGGAGCUCCCCCUGCAGGACAGAGGAAAUAACCAAACAUUUAAAAACCCUUGUGGGGGGGAGUUCGAGCCGAUCCUAGCUGUCAUCGAGCAGAGGUGCAGUACGCCCAUCAUUACAGAGCCAGUUGGCGUGGUUUAGACUAGUCAUGGCCGGAGGUGGUGCAAUCCUUACAAUGAACAGGCACCCACUCCUUCCAAAAGUGUCUGUGCAGGCCAAAACAGAGCAUACUCCGCACAGUAACAACAGCUAGAAGGACGGUUUUUGUGGACUUACAUGUUCUGGUCCCUGGAAACAGAUCCUGCAC